rnacentral:lncRNA from 1 species
AGCACACCCUGGAGUUAUGCAACUUGGAGGGGCAGAGCCCAAUAUUUGUGGAAAGGAGGCUAAGGGCCAUAUUCUCUCUCUGCCUUCCUCUUGAUCUGCUGACCUCUCUAAAAUCCUUUCCAAGACUUCUAAUUCUAAACCUUCCCAUAUUUCUAAACCUUCCCUGUGUUAGAAUGGGGAAGCUGGCAUGAAGCGCUGGGCUGAUUUUGUUUGUUUGUAGUUUCUGUUCAAACUUGGACAUCUUAUUUCCAAGAGAUGUGAGAAAUGCACUGGAUAAGCUGUCCACAGCAGUUUCUCCUAAGGGUUCCUGCCAAAAACUGCAUGGGAUUUCAGGGUCUGGUUUGCUUCGCCUCCUUCAGGUAAGCUUGUUUAUAAAAAGGAAACAUUUGUGCAGCUCAGCAGAUUUGAGAGACCCAGUGGGAAUGGCUGUUUAUUUGUCUUUUAAUCACAAAGCCUGGGGUUUGGCUCCAAGGCUGAAGGUCUUGAGGCCUCUUUAUCUCCUCCCCCUGAGACUUUAAUCUCUCUUCUGACAUUCCUUUGGCUCACAGGGUGCCUUGGGAAUUGGGGAAAGAGGAGGUUGCAGGUGGACAAAGAUUUCUGGGCCUCAUCAGAGUUUCUGUCCUUAGUGUGACCUCCCACCAGGGACUAUGGUUCCUUUUGAGAUCAGUUCCAGAGCCUAACCUCUCCCUCCUCUUUGUCCUACAAACAACCAAAAGGAAGAGAAAACAAAGCCACCCACCCUCCCCAAACCCCAGGAAACGUUUAUUUUGAGGAGUGAAUCUCUUGUGUUUGAAGCCACAUCUUAUCACUCGCCUUUUAUGGAAUCUGAGAGAUGAAGUGAGGUGAAGGGUCACGGCGUGCAAUUCACUCAUUUUAUAGAUGAGGACACAGCAAUCCUGCAAUCCACAGGGGUGCUGGUGUCUGUCCGAAACACACAGCUUCUCUGUAAAGGUUGCUGGACGGGUCCCCUGUUGUGUGACCCCCUCAGGCGAUUUUCAGGGCACCCCAUGACUGUGUGCAAUGUGAGCUGUCUAUGGCCAGCCCUAAACCUCAGCGAGCAGAGACUAUUUUCUUUGAAUCAGCAUGCACCACACCACGCCGUGCUCCCCACAGGGGCACAUAUUGAGAAAAUGAAAUUCAAAUCACCCCUCUGGUACGCUUUGUGCUCCCUUUCCUGAUUACACACACAGAGAAGCCUAUUCUGCAGGUGACCAGGUGGGCGUGUAUAGGGCCAGGCAGCGAAGCCUGCAAGAAGGACACCCGGGUUCUUUCCUGUCUCCAGCUGCUUCUGACAGGAACCCCAGAGCCCAGCCUGGGGCUGAGAACAAGUUGGGCCUCCAUGAGGGACUUUGAUCCUUGACUGGUCUCUUGCUUCCCUAAGAAGUUGAACAACCUUUUAGGGUAUAUGGCUGCACCCAUGUUCCACCCCCUCCCUUGGCCCUAGGCCAAAUGAACACCUGGGUGUUGGGUGACCUCAAGAGAUUGUGAAUCCACUUUGAGCCUUAUUCCUCGAGUCAUUCCGCUUCCCAGCAGAUUGUGUGAAGUCUCUCUUUAAAAAAAUAAAUAAAAAGUCUGAGCUCAGUGAAGUGAUUUUACUCAUGCAGAAAACUAUAAAGGUAAAAGAUGAAACUCUGAGAGCAAACCUUUGUGCUCUCCGGGUCUCCUGGAAAAAGAGGGCAGGCAGGGCUUGUACACACGAGGCAGGAGCUGCUUGUGCAGAAAUGGAAAUGCUCCCCCGUCUUUCCUUCCACACUAAGUUGCUUCAUUAUAUUUUCAGGCGAGCGAGUCAUGGGGUCCUGGUGUGCGGUGCUGUCUUUUUCAAUUAAUGCUUUUCACAGAAGUUCAGGUUUUAAACAUCUCCCCCUCUCUUCCCAGGUCUGUUACAUUUCCCAGAAUGGUUCCCAGCGCUGGAGAUAAUUCCUUUUCGGAGAACCUACAUUUCUCACCUGCUGAUUGCAAUUAGCCACUGCCAGCUGGGGCCUGGUGCGCAGCUGAAAAGCUAACAAGAAGUGGAGACCACGCGGAACCCAGACAGGGCAUAGGAGGUGCAUGAAUAAGGAAUGGUGCCCAUGUUUAUGAGAUGCUCCUGUGAAUUUGAGGCUUCCCAACCCUUUGCAAAGCCCUCCCUCUUCCAGCCCUAUGCCACCCCCACCUCCCUAUUUUUUUUUUUUUUUUUUUUUUUUGGUCUCUGGGUUUGUAGCCUACACUUAACAUCACAGUCACGAAUUUACCACUAAGUACAUUUUGUUAGGCAAUAAACAGCCUUGGAAGAAAAAUGAAAUGCAACUAGGACUUCUGUUCCAAUAAUAUUUGGGAGCUGUGGUGGAUUCAAGCAGGUCUCACAUGUGAGUCUUAGAACUAACAUUCACCAUGAGGGCUGACAGGGUUUCCAGAAGCCUUGGGAACCCUUAAUCUGACUCCCUCCUUUUGCGGAUGAAGACAAUGAAUCCUAGAAGGGGAACAUGGCUCAUCCAAAGUCUUAGAGGAAGUUGUAGGACUCGGUGAUGUCCAUGUCACCUGAUGUCCAGCUCUGGGCUCUAACUACUGAACAGGCUUGCUUUUGACCAUCCUGGCCUGUGAGGGAAGCAUCAAGAAGAUUGCCCAGAAUUAGAAGCCAGUGUCUUGGACAAUGUGGCCUCCAACCCAAGGCAACCUUGUUUCUUUCCCCAUGGGUCAAUCCUGGCCCCUGGGACCAAUGAGAAUACCCCCGGGCACUUUUGUCCAGGGUUGAUACCCAGUUUCCGUGGCUCAUAGCUGCUGACUCCAAUCCUGUGACUGCCCCCUAUGGAGGGUAUUCUCCCACUUUGGGGCUAUCUUGGAAUUGGCAACAGAGGGGACUGAUGCCCAGCCAAGGGGCAAUUAGCAGCUGUCCCUGGUCACUUUGCAAUGUAAAUGGAGGAAUAUCAACAUGGUGAGGUCUGGGCUUAGGGUGUGAACAUAUUCGUUUGGUGGGUUUGAGCUUAAACUUUCCAGCCCUUUCUACUCAGAGGGUAGGACAUUCUCUGCCCUACUCACCUUCCACUAGGAGAUCCUGAUUAUAAGAUUUCUGUUCAGGGAGUUGGAUAGGCUUCUAGGCAGUAAUGACAAAACCUGGAUUUUGAACUCCAACCUCAGCUCCAUUUUGUGGUUGGCAUAUCUCUCAGCCUGUUUUCUCAUCCAUAACACAAACACUCAUGAUACAUAUUAGUCCAUUCCCAUUACUAUAACAAAAUACCAGAGACUUGGUACUUUAUAAAGAAAAGAGCUUUAUUUAGCUCAGAGUUCUGGAGCUUCAAGAGCAUAGUGCUGGAUUCUCCUCAACUCUGGUGAAAGCCUCAUGGUGGAUGGAAUCAAAAUGGUGGGAACAUGUGUGGAAUGGGUCUCAUGGCAAGGCAAGAGCAGAGAGGGGCAAGGUUUGCUCUUUCAUAAGAACUUGCUCUUGUGGGACCAGGGUCUCUUGACAACUACAUUGAUCACUUCUGAGGGGAGUAUCCCAAUGAUCUAAUCAUCUUCCACUUGGCCCCACCUCUUCAAGGUUCCACCACUUCCACACCACUACAUUGGUGACCAAGCCCUGAGAACAUGAAAUUUUGGGGGAAAAUACACAUCUAAUCCAUAGCUUAAUGUGUGGCUUAUUGGGCUUUUUGAAAGGGUAAGGGAAAGAGACAUAGUUAAACGUGGGUUUUCUGUAAGUGUUCACUUUCCUUCCUCUAGUACUAACUUUCCAUUUUACUGAUAAAGAAAACCAAGGUCUAGAGAAAUAAAGAUACCCUCCUAAAGCUACUUACUCAUUCAUUACUUUCACUCACCUACUUUGCCUCCUAUGAGGCACUCAGGGAGGAAACCAGAAUGAACUUUACUAAUACAAAGUUCAUUCUGCAAACACAAGUUUGGUAAAUGUUUAACAAUUAGCUCAGAGGUCAGGAGAGGGAAGGUGAGGAGAAAGUUCGGAUUUGUAGUGUUGCUGGUUGUUAUUUUAAGGUAAUCUAUAUGUGUAAUCAUAAAAAAUUAUACAGGGUGAUCCCCUCUCUCCUUGAUCCAGUUUCCUCCAAUGCAAAAUUGCAGAACAAUGUCACAGCCAAUAUAUUGACAUGAUAUAAUACAUCGAUAUUUAUAUUUGCCCAGUUUUAUUUGUACUUGUGUGUGUGUGUUUGGUUCUAAGUAAUUUUAUCACAAUAUAUAGGUUCCCAUGGUCAACACCAGUCAAGGGACAGAACAGUUGAUUACCACAAGCACCACUCUUUUGCCAUCUUCACCUUCCUCCUUGUGUACCUUGCCUUUGAUCUUUAUACCUGACAACCUUUAAUCUGCCAUUUAUGUCUAAAAUUUUGUCAUUUCAAAAUCUCAUAGUAUGUAUAAUUCAUACAGUGUGUAAUCUUUGGAGAUGGGAUUUUUUUCCACUCAACAUGAUUUUAUCAAAUUUCAUCCAAGUUAUGUAUCAAUUGUUCAUUAUUUUUUUAUUGUUGAGUAAUAUUCCAUGGUGUGGCUAUACUGCAAUUUUUUCUACUAUUCACCUGUUGAAGGAAAAUGGUUUGUUUAUACAUUUAGGCUGUUAUGUAUAAUGCUCCUGUGACAAUUCAUACAUAAGAUUUUCUGGUGAAAAAGCAUCUGCUUUUGGGCUGGGGUUGUGGCUCAGUGGUUGAGUGCUUGCCUAGCAUGUGUGAGGCACUGGGUUCGACCCUCAGCACCACAUAAAAAUAAAUAAAUGCAUUGUGUUCAUAUACAACUAAAAAAAACUUUUAAAAAGUGUCUGCUCUUCCCCUAAGAUUGGGAACAAAAUUUAUUCUUACCACAAAAAUCACCAGCGUAAAUUCUAAUCAGUGCUUUAUUCAAGAAAGAGAAAUGAAAGUUUAAGUAUUAGAAAAUAAGAAAGAAAAAUUUCCCUAUUGCAGAGGAUGUGAUUGUGUAUGGAGAAAAUCUUAUUCCCAUCUCUUUGGAAAUUGUGCACUCUGCCCAAGAAGGCAAUGGCUGCAUCCUAUGGUAGACAUAGCUUAGUUUUAUAAGAAAAAAAAAUGCCAAAUUGUUUUCCAGAGUGACUGUACCAUUUGACAUUCUCAUCAUCAGUGUAUGAGACAUCUGGUUUCUCUGCAUCGUCACCAGCAUUUAGUGUUUGUCACUAUUCUUUAUUUUAGCAAUUCUGGUAGAAUCACUUCAUACGUGAUGUAUCAUUGUGGUUUUAGUUUGCAUUUUUCUAAUAGCUAAUGAAGCCAAACAUCUUUUCGUGUGCUUAUUUGUCAUAUGUAGAACCAUUUUGGUGAAGUGUCUCUUUAUGACUUUUGUCCAUUUUUUAACUGAACUCUUUGUUUUUUACUGUUCAGUUUUGAGAGUUCUUUAUAUUCUAAAUACUAGUCUUUUGUGUCAAAUACGUGGUUUGCAGAUAUUUUCUUCCAGUCCAUACAUUACUUUUCAGCCUCAUUAUAGGGUGUUUCACAAAGCAAAAGUUGUUUUGAUGAAGUCUAAUUCAUUAGUUUUUCACUUGUGUUUUGAGUGUCAAGUCGAAUUUUUUUUGCCUGUUUGUAUAUCACAAAUAUUUUCUCCUAUUUUCAAAUGUUUAUAUUAUGGUUUAAUAUUUUACAUUUAAUUAACUUUCUGAUCUUUCUUUCUUUCUUUCUUUCUUUCUUUCUUUCUUUCUUUCUUUCUUUCUUUCUUUCGUGUGUGCUGCUGGGGAUUGAACCCAGAGUCUUACUCAUGCUAGGCAAGUUAUAUACCACUGAGCUACUUGCCCAGUCCUUCAUUUUUUAUUUUGAAUUAAUUUUUCUAGAAAGUGUGACAUUUAGAUCAAGGUUCAUCCUUUCUUUCCCUACCUUUCCCAUCCCUCCCCUCCCCUUCCCUUCCCUUCCAUUAUGUCCCAUUUCCUUCCUUUUUUUCUUCUCUCUUCUCUUUGCCCUAUGGGUAUCCAAUUGUUUCAGAAUUAUUUGUGGAAAAUGCUAUUUUUUUUUUCUCAUGAAAUUAUUUUUGCACCUCAGUUAAAACUUGGACAUAUCUUUCUGGGUUCUCUUUUCCAUUGAUCUGUCUCCAUUUCUCUAUCAAUCUGACGUUCUUUUCUCAUCAUAGAGCAUAUAACAAAACAAGUCUUGUAAGGGAGGCAAUUAAAGAGGAAAUAAUUAAAAACUAGGGAAAACAGAGGUAUGUCAGAAAAUUAAUUAAUAUAUAUAUAUAAAUUAUUUUAAAAAAUAUUUGUUAUGUUAAUAGUGUUUUAAGUCUCUUAAAUGUAAUAAUUCAUUGUGAUUUCUUUAACACCCUAAAUAAGUGUUAGUUUUAGUACUUAUAAUAAUAAGUCUUAAUGUUGGGUAGAUUAAUUCCUCCCAUUUUAUUCAUCUUAAGAUUGAAUUGGCUGUUCUAGGGUUUGUGUUUUUCCAUAUAAAUUUUAAAAUAAUUUUAUCUAUGUCUACCAAAAAUCUUCGUGGGAUUUUGUUUGGAAUUGUAUUAAACCUAUAUAUCAACUUGAGGAAAAUUGAGAUUCUUACUAUGUCAAGACUUCUAAUCAGCUUAUUGAAUUGCCUCUCAACUUACCAAGUCUUUUUAAAUUUCUUUUAUCAGUAUUUUGUACUUUGCAUAUAUAGCAUACCAUAAAUGUUUGAUUAAGCAUAUACUUAUGUAUUUCUUACAGUACACAGAUCCUACAAAUAUCUUGUUCCCUGCAUACUUAAAAUUGUAUUUACAAUCACCUGAUGGUAAAUGGCAUUAUGUUUUUAAUUUUGGCUUCCACAUGUUCACUGUUAGUAUGUAAAAUGUGUUGACCUUAUAUCCUGAAAGACUGCCAAACUCAUUUGUUGGUUCUAGGAUUUUUGUUUUGUAGAUUCAUUGGGAUUUCUGCAAAAAAAAAAAAAUCACAUUUUUCUGCAAAUGGGAAAUAUUUCUUUCUUUUUGAUAUUGAUGUCUUUCUUUUUCUUUUCUUUUGCAUGGACUAGAACUUUCCAUACUCUGAAAUGUGCAGUGAGAAUGAACUAUGUUUCCAACCUUAGGGGGAGAGCAGACUGUCUUUCAUCAGUAGGUUUGAUGACAGCUGUGGAUUUCUUUUAUAUGUUAUUUAUUGCUGUAGUUCUAUUUAUAACCUACUGAGAGCUUUUUAUUUUUUUACCAUAAAGAGUACUUAAUUUUUAAAUGUUUGUUUUUUUAAUUCCACAGAUACAAUCAUAUGAUUUUUCUUUUUUGAUUUGUUGAUAUGAUUGUUAACAUUGAUUGAUUUUUGAAUGUUGUCUUUGCACACCUAGAAUAAAUCCCACUUGAUGAGAGCAUAUCAUUAUUUGUACACAUUGGUGCAUUAAGUAUGGUAAUAUUUAUUGAGGAUGUUUGUUUCUAAACUUGAGUUCAUAUUGGGCUAUAUUUUUAUAUUGGCAUCUUCUACUUUUAGAAUCAAUAUAAUUUUGGCCUUGCCAAAUGAGUUUAAAAGUAUGGCCCCCUCUCCUAUUUUCUGGAGGAGAUUGGGUGAAAUUGGUAUUAACUAUGACUGGUAAAAUUUCCAUCUAUCUGGAAAUUUCUUUUUGGAUAGUUUUAAAUUACAAAUUCAAUUUCUUUAAUGGUUAUGGUAGUAUUGUAAUUGUCUAUUUCAUCUUGAUUGUGGUUUGCUAGUUCAUGCAUUUGGACAAAUUGGUCCAUUUCUUUCAAAUUGUCAAAUUUCUGAACAUAAAGUUGUUCAUUGUAUUUCUUUAUUAUCAUUUUUAAUGGUUGCAGGAGGUAUAAUGAUGCUUAUGUGUCACUUUUGUUGGGGUUUUAUCAAUUUUUUUCCAUGUACCACCUUUUGUUUCAUUGAUUGGGGGGGCAUGUUUUCCUGUUUUCAACUUCACUUAUUUCUGCUCUUAUAUAUUAUUAUUUCAUAUCAUUUAUCUGUUUUGGCUUUACUUCACUGUUAUUUUUCUUGUUUUUUGAAGAAUGAAUGUAGAUUAUUGAUUUGAGACCUUUUCUCCUUUCUAAUAAAAACAUUUUGUGCUAUAAAUUUCCCUUUCAUCAAUGUUUAGCUGCUUCCUACAAGUUUUGAUGUUUUAUUUUCAUUUUAACUAAGUCAUAUGCAUUUAAAAUUUUUUGAAACUUCAUUUUUUUCAUUGAUUGCUUAGAAGUGCAUUGUUUCAUUUCCAAUUGUUGAAGAUUUUCUUAUUGUAUUUCUGUUAUUGAUUUCUACUUUGAUUUCAUUAUCAUUGAGGAAUAUAGUUUGUAUUACUUCAAUGCUUUGAAAUGUUUGGGGAUUAGUUUUAUAAUCAAUCUUGAAGAAUGUCUCAUUGGUAGUUUAAAAGAAUGUGCAUUAUGCUGUUGAUAAGUCUUUAAGAAAUGUCAGUUUGAUCCAGUUGGUUGAUGGCACUGUUCAGUUCUCUGUCUCUUGGCUCAUUUUUUGUCUAGUGGUUCUAUAAAUUACUGAGUAAGGGAUUGAAUUGUCCAACCAUAAUUGUGGAUCUGUCUAUUUUUUUCUUUGAUCUCUAUCAGUUUUUGUGUCAUGCAUUUUGAAGCUCUGUUGAUUGGUAUAUAUGCAUUUAGAAUCAUUAUAUCUUCCUGGGGGAAUCAAUCUUCUUGUAAUAAUGUGAUGAACAUCUUUUACCUAGUAAAAUUAUUUGUUCUGAAGUAUACUUUAUCUAAUAUUAAUAUAAUUUGAUGUAUUUGUAAAAAAUAAUGUUUGCAUGAUAUCAUUUUUUAAUUCUUGUACUUUCAGCAUACCUAUGUCAUUGUGUUUGCAUUGAAUUUAUUUUAGAAAAUAUAGUUGUGUCAUUACAUUUUAUCUACUUUGUCAAUUAUAUUUUUAGUUGGCAUAUUUUGACCACUUCCAUUUAAAAUAAUUAUUAAUCUGAUAGCCUUAAGUCUGCCAUUUGAUUGCUUGCUUUUUUCUGUUUUCUGUUUCUUUGUUUCUCUUUUCUUGCCUUCCUGUGGGUUAUUUGAAUAUAUUUUAGGAUUCCAUCUGAAUUUAGUUAUAUUAUUUUUAGUAUAUAUCUUGAAUAGUUUCCUUACUGGUUGUUCUAGGUGGCACAAUAUGUAUACAUAACUUAUUACGGCCUACUGGAAUCAGUGUUUUACUGGUUUGAAUGAAGAAUUGAAAUUUUAUUUCUUUUUAUGUCCCUUUACCUUCCCCAAUUUAAAAAUAUAAUUGUUUCAAAUAUUUUCUCUACAUUCAUUAAGAACUACACAAAUGUUACAAAAGUUUCGCUUUGACCAUCAAAUGUGAUUGAAAAAACUUGUGGAAAGGACCAAACUCUCUUAUACUUGCUCUUAUUUUUACCUAUGGCAUUAUUUCUUCUUCUUUCUGAAGUUUUAAUCCUUCUGUUAUAGUUUCCUUUCUGUUCAGAGAGCUUCCUUUAACUAUUCUUUAAGUAUAAGUUUCCUAGGAAUAUGUUCUCUUACUUUUCCUUUUUAUGAGAAUGUCUUAAUUUCUUCUUCAUUCCUAGAGGAUGACUUCACAAUGUAUAGAAUUCACACUUCACAGUUCUUUUUAAAAAAUGGUGUGCCACUUCCUCUGGCCUCCAUGGUGUUUGUAGAGAAAUCAGCUGUCAUUUGGAUUGCUGUUCCUUCUAGAUAAUGCAUUGUUUCUCUUUGGUUGCUUUUUAGAUAUUUUUGUCUUUAGUUUUCAAAAGUUUAAUUAUUGUCUCAUUAAUGAAUUUCUUUGAGUUUAUCUAUGUGAGCUCUACUCCUUGACUCUGUAUGUUUAGGUGCUUUGCCAAAUUUAGGAAUUUUUCAGCCAUUAUUUGUUCAAAGUGAAGAAGCCUACAUUCUUUUCAGGCCAACAUUCUUUCCUAUCUAUUUUUGAAAUGCUAAUGAUAUUAAUUUAGAUUUUUAUUAUUAUUCGAAGGUCCGUUAGGUUUUCUUUUUUCAGUCUAUUUUCUCUAUUAUUCAGACUCAGUAAAUUUUGUUACUUUUUAAAAAUCAAAUCCAGUGAUUCUCUCUUUUGUCAUCUCCACUCUGCUAUGAGUCCAUCUUGUUAGUUUAAAAAAAAAAUGAGUUCUUGCGGCUGGGGUUGUGGCUCAGUGGUAGAGCACUUGUCUAGCAUGUGUGAGGCACCAGGUUUGAUCCUGAACACCACAUAUAAAUAAAUAAAUAAAUAAAAGUAUAAAAAAUACAAUAACUUUUUUUUAAAUUCAGUUCUUAUAUUUUUCAAAUCUAUAAUUUUCAUUUGGUCCUUUUUUGGUAUAACUUUGUUUUUCUUUGCUGUGUUCUUUUUAUUUCAAAGAAAUUCAUGAUUCUUCAUUGAAGCAAGUUUAUAGUGGCUGCUUUGAAAUCUAUGUCAGAUGCUUUAAAAUCUGAUUCAUCUGGUUAUUGACAUCAGUUGACUACCUUUCUGGUUUAUACUAUGAUUUUUUUUUGUUCUUAUAUAAUGAGUAUUUUUAAUUCUAUCUUGAACUUUUUAAUAUUAUUUAGGUGACUCAUUAUUUAAAUCUUUUAUCUUAGGAGGCAUUUCCCUGUUUACAUUUAGUUUGUGGGUUUUAUACUACAUUUUGGGGUUAUAGUUUCAGUAACUUAAGUUUUCUGAAACUGUGUGAUAAUAAUCUGGUCUGCUUUAUUCAUCUGGUUCUGUUUGAGCUUUUGUGAGAUUCUAGCUGGUGCCACUUGCAGGUACUUCCAUGGAUCUCUCAAUGUUGUUAGAUGAGGAGUGAGGGUACCAGAUAUACAAGAAGUAGAGAAUUUCAUGUUCAAUCUCACCUGUUGAUGUUUGGCUUUCCACUCUAUUUCCACAGAUGCCUCUGGAAAGUAAAGAGCCUACCUGAGUGCCUUAUGCCACAGAGUGGAGAACCAGGAUCCAUAAGGAAUGGGUGACUGGCUUUAGAUCUAGAUUCUGAAAACUCAAGCCCUGUGUCAACUUCUACAUCUGGGUCAAUGGAUAACAAAUAUGGAACUUGCUAUUUCUACUGACACUUGCAUAAAGACCCACCUAUUACUGGCUGAUCUGGGGUGUGGGUGGACUAUUUAACUCAGGACCUACCUACUCUUACCUACUGCUGUUUUUGAUUGUGGGUCAAGGGAUGGAUUUCCUUCCUGAGUUCUUCUGAUACCAAGAUUGGUAGAUCGUCCUACCACUGCCACUGGGUGUUGGUGUCCCUGCUAAGUCCCUGCUGGCUUUCCUUGUUCCUGGUAAAUAAUGAAAGAUAAAAAAGAAAUCCUAUGGAAGUCACUGUUCAUCAUGGUGUUGCUCUUAAACUCUUGAGAUCUGUAGUGAGUUUUCUUCUAUCCAACAUUCAGACUUUUUACCAUUUUCUGUUGAAUUAUUUCCAAGGUAUUUCAUUAUAUUUAAAGUGAAAGAACAGGGAAAAUUGAUUCUAUUCUAUUUUGUCUCUCAAUUGGAAGCCAUUAUUUUAAAUUCAAAUUAUUGCUCAGAAUAGGAGUAUUUUCUGGGUGAUAGAUAUAUGAGUAUUCAUUUUAUGUUAUUCUCUACAGUCCUAUAGGUUCGAUACACCAAAAAUGUCUAAUGUAAGGUUAUGCCACAUAUAAGAUACUCUCCCAUUACAAGUGCAAUCUCUCCUACUUUGGUUUAUUCUAUUUUAUAUCUAUUCUAUUAUAUUUUGGUCAACAAAAUAUGUGCACGGUCAAGACUCAUUAGCCAGAAACGAUUUCAAUCAAUGAUAGUUUGGGAUGAUCAUCUGAGAGAAUGAAUUAAAAACAAGGCAAAGAAAUCUAAUGCAAAUUUAGUCAUUAUGCCUGGGGAGGUGGCCUCACAGUUGCAAGAGUUAGAUGUCCAUAUAAGCUUGUCUUUUAAAGGUCACUUUAAAAAGCAAUGCAAUAAAUGAUUCUUAUGAUAUUUUAAAAAUUGUUUUAAUAUGAGAAUGGAAACUUGAAACUUCAGAUAUUUCUACUGACAUUAUCCUACAUAGAUUAAGGUGUUCUAUAUCUCAACUUUGAGGGAAAUGAAGAUGAUGUGACUUGGAGAACUGCAGUAGAUGACUCAAGCAUGUAUCUAUGAAACAUGUCCCUAAGAAGGUCACUGAUGUCAAACAUUAAUGAUUAGUUUAAGGACAAUUGUUUCAUAAGAAAAAUAAUAAUAUUUCCAAAUCAAUAUUUUGAUUUAUGUAAAACAUGGUUUUAAGUAUAUAUAUGUAACUUUAUUAGAAAAUUAAAUAUUAUAUAGACCUUUUAGUAUUCUAUGUCUUUGAAAGCUUAUAUAUUUGAGGUGACCAAAAAAUCUUUUUAAAAGAUCUUCUAAUCUAGAAAUUUGGAGGUUAUAUUUGCUAUAUAUUUAUAUGUAAUUAUUUUGAUAUUUCAAAUACCAAAAAAUUACAGCUGUGAAUCUAUCACCUGUGUUAUAGUUUGAAUCUAAAAUGUACCCGAAAGGCUCAUGUGUUGAAGGCCUGGAUCCCAGUGCAGCAACAUUCAAAAGUGGGACUCUUGGGGAAAAAAAAGUUGGAUCAUGACGGCUCUAAUCUCAUCAAUGGGUCAAUUCACUAAUGAGUUCAUAAUUGAAUGGACUACUGGGAGAAGACAGAAACUGUAGGAGGUGCAGUCUAGAUGGAGGAAGAGGUCUCUAAGAGAAUGUCCUGAAAUGGUAUAUCUUUUUUUUUAUUUUUUUUUAUUUUUUAUUGGUUGUUCAAAACAUUACAAAGCUCAUGGCAUAUCAUCUUUCAUACAUUUGACUCAAUUGGGUUAUGAACUCCCAUUUUUACCCCAAAUACAAAUUGCAGAAUCACAUCGGUUACACAUUCACAUUUUUACAUACUGCCAUACUAGUGACUGUUGUAUUCUGCUACCUUUCCUAUCCUCUACUAUCCCCCCUCCCCUCCCCUCCCAUCUUCCCUCUCUACCUCAUCUGCUGUUGUUCAAUUCUUUCCCUUGUUCCCCCCCCUUUCCCCUCACAAAGACUUCUUUGUACACAGCUUUCAUGCUUUUCUAUCCUUCCUUCCCCUGGAUAUUCACCAUUUUCAUGUAUGUCUAAUGAGAUCAACACAUAGUUAUAUAUUUGAAAAGAAAACAUGUGUCUGUUUUGAGUUUCAAAAUAUUAUGUAAAUUUUAAUAUCCUGCAUAUAUCAUUCUGCAUUACUGAUAUGUGUUUUCUGCUUCCUGUGCUUUUGUUCUUUCCAGGCUUCUGAUGGAUUAAAAAUAUUUCCUUUCCUCUACUGCUAUUUUAAAGCUAUAUAUAAUAUUUCUACAUUGUUU